rnacentral:snRNA from 1 species
GUGCUCGCUUUAGGCAGCACACAUGCUAAAACUGGAACGAGACAGAGAAGAUUUAGCCUGGCCCCUGCUCGAGGAAGACGUGCAAAUUCGUGAAGCCUUCCAUAUUUUU